UACGAAGGGUGCAAACGUUGCUCGGAAUUAUUGGGCGUAAAGCGCACGUAGGCGGCAUUACAAGUCGGAUGUGAAAUCCCUCGGCUUAACCAAGGAAGUGCAUCCGAAACUGCAGUGCUUGAGUACUUAAGAGGAUCGCGGAAUUCCCGGUGUAGAGGUGAAAUUCGUAGAUAUCGGGAGGAACACCAGUGGCGAAGGCGGCGAUCUGGGAAGAUACUGACGCUGAGGUGCGAAAGCGUGGGGAGCAAACAGG
rnacentral:rRNA from 1 species